rnacentral:rRNA from 1 species
GACGAACGCUGGCGGCGUGCUUAACACAUGCAAGUCGAACGGAAAGGCCCUGCUUUUGUGGGGUGCUCGAGUGGCGAACGGGUGAGUAACACGUGAGUAACCUGCCCUUGACUUUGGGAUAACUUCAGGAAACUGGGGCUAAUACCGGAUAGGAGCUCCUGCUGCAUGGUGGGGGUUGGAAAGUUUCGGCGGUUGGGGAUGGACUCGCGGCUUAUCAGCUUGUUGGUGGGGUAGUGGCUUACCAAGGCUUUGACGGGUAGCCGGCCUGAGAGGGUGACCGGCCACAUUGGGACUGAGAUACGGCCCACACUCCUACGGGAGGCAGCAGUGGGGAAUAUUGCACAAUGGGCGGAAGCCUGAUGCAGCAACGCCGCGUGCGGGAUGACGGCCUUCGGGUUGUAAACCGCUUUCGCCUGUGACGAAGCGUGAGUGACGGUAAUGGGUAAAGAAGCACCGGCUAACUACGUGCCAGCAGCCGCGGUGAUACGUAUGGUGCGAGCGUUGUCCGGAUUUAUUGGGCGUAAAGGGCUCGUAGGUGGUUGAUCGCGUCGGAAGUGUAAUCUUGGGGCUUAACCCUGAGCGUGCUUUCGAUACGGGUUGACUUGAGGAAGGUAGGGGAGAAUGGAAUUCCUGGUGGAGCGGUGGAAUGCGCAGAUAUCAGGAGGAACACCAGUGGCGAAGGCGGUUCUCUGGGCCUUUCCUGACGCUGAGGAGCGAAAGCGUGGGGAGCGAACAGGCUUAGAUACCCUGGUAGUCCACGCUGUAAACGGUGGGUACUAGGUGUGGGGUCCAUUCCACGGGUUCCGUGCCGUAGCUAACGCUUUAAGUACCCCGCCUGGGGAGUACGGCCGCAAGGCUAAAACUCAAAGGAAUUGACGGGGCCCCGCACAAGCGGCGGAGCAUGCGGAUUAAUUCGAUGCAACGCGUAGAACCUUACCUGGGUUUGACAUGGAUCGGGAGUGCUCAGAGAUGGGUGUGCCUCUUUUGGGGUCGGUUCACAGGUGGUGCAUGGCUGUCGUCAGCUCGUGUCGUGAGAUGUUGGGUUAAGUCCCGCAACGAGCGCAACCCUUGUUCACUGUUGCCAGCACGUUAUGGUGGGGACUCAGUGGAGACCGCCGGGGUCAACUCGGAGGAAGGUGGGGGUGACGUCAAGUCAUCAUGCCCCUUAUGUCCAGGGCUUCACGCAUGCUACAAUGGCUGGUACAGAGAGUGGCGAGCCUGUGAGGGUGAGCGAAUCUCGGAAAGCCGGUCUCAGUUCGGAUUGGGGUCUGCAACUCGACCUCAUGAAGUCGGAGUCGCUAGUAAUCGCAGAUCAGCAACGCUGCGGUGAAUACGUUCCCAGGGCU